rnacentral:rRNA from 1 species
UACGUAGGGUGCGAGCGUUGUCCGGAAUUAUUGGGCGUAAAGGGCUCGUAGGCGGUUUGUCGCGUCGGGAGUGAAAACUCAGGGCUUAACCCUGAGCCUGCUUCCGAUACGGGCAGACUAGAGGUAUGCAGGGGAGAACGGAACUCCUGGUGUAGCGGUGAAAUGCGCAGAUAUCAGGAGGAACACCGGUGGCGAAGGCGGUUCUCUGGGCCUGUACUGACGCUGAGGAACGAAAGCGUGGGGAGCGAACAGG